rnacentral:rRNA from 1 species
AUUGAACGCUGGCGGCAGGCCUAACACAUGCAAGUCGAACGAGUGGCGGACGGUUGAGUAAUGUCUGGGAAACUGCCCGAUGGAGGGGGAUAACUACUGGAAACGGUAUCUAAUACCGCAUACCAUCGGAUGUGCCCAGAUGGGAUUAGCUAGUAGGUGGGGUAACGGCUCACCUAGGCGACGAUCCCUAGCUGGUCUGAGAGGAUGACCAGCCAAACUGGAACUGAGACACGGUGCAGACUCGUACGGGAGGGAGCAGUGGGGAAGAUUGCACAAUGGGCGCAAGUCUGAUGCAGUCAUGACGCGUGGAUGAAGAGGGCAUUCGGGUUGUAAAGUACUUUCAGAGAGGAGGGGUUACUCGCAGAAGAAGCACCGGCUAACGCUGUGCCAGCAGCCGCGGUAAUUC